rnacentral:lncRNA from 1 species
AUGAGCAUUAUGGCAUAAUGGAUAUAUGCAUAUUAGCAUGUGAGGAAAGUGUGAGAUGAAUACAUGAUGAGCAUAAUGUAGAAAUGCAUGUUAACAUUAUGAAAUGCUGGAUGAGAGAUUCAUAUAGAAAUGAAUGAUAAUGAAUGCAAGCUGAUAAAUGCAUGUUGGUAAAUGCUAAGUAAGUGCAUAUAAGCAUGUCAUGAUGAAAUGCUAGAUGAAUAGAUGCAUGUAACUAACGCUAAGAGAAUGCAUUUGGGCAUAAUGGAUAGAGGCAUGUCGAUGAAUGCAAGUAGAUAAUGCAUGUUAUAGAAAUGUUAGCUAAGCUGCAUGAUUACAUGACGAGCAUAAUGUAGAUAAUGCAUGUUAUAGAAAUGCUAACUAAGUGCAUGAUUACAUGAUGAGCAUUGUGAGGAUAUGCUUGAUUCAGAUGAGUCAAACAUAGGUUGAACAGAAAUGACAUGAACCUAGUGUUAGAGAACAUAGGUCGGGUCUGAACGACAGUGAACCUAAAGUCAUGAACAUAGGUUGAACGUGAAUGACAGGGAACCUAGUGUCGUGAACCUAGGAAAGAUCGAGUAGCAUCUAACCUAGUGUCAAAGAACAUAGGUUAGACAUCAAGUGGCAUUAAACCUAGUGUCUUGAACAUAGGUUGAAUAAGUAUAGUGUGAACCUAGUGUCAUGUAUGUUAGGACACUUAUGGUAUUUGAGCAUAUUUAUAUUUGUAGUCAUGCAUUAUAGGGUGUUUGGCAUUGUGCGAGUGAAAAUGUGAAUUACUAUCAACAGUAAGAACUUGUGAACCUUAGAAUGUGGACAUAGAACCCUAUGAAUGCAUGGACUAUAACAAUAGUGAACUUGGUGACAUUCUAACUAGAGAUUUGGUUAGCAUCGAGCAUAAAGAGCUAGUUAGAGUUCAAUUGUGGCAUGGCCAGUUAUUGAAUCCUCUAAAGGAGGAUUGGAUCUUACUCACAUAGUCUGUUUUUAGCUUGGUGGAGGUCGCUCCCCCCAGGCAGUGAGCUCCGGAGUUGUCACACGAUGGGCUAACGUACUUGCCCUUGGACUAACGUACUUGUCCAGCAGACGGUCCCUAGGGUGGUUCGAGUCCCCCGUUAUUAAGGGAUUUUGGGUUGUGAGUUAUUGGGGUUAACAAGUGUUAACCGGUAAGAUUGGGUAAAAGCCAAAGUGAUUGGGAAAAAGCAUGCAUUAUGAGCUAUAGAUUGGGUAUCCUUGUCGAGUGGAUUUUGGGGCUGAGGUGUAUGUGAGACGUCCAUUACCUCGAGUCUGGAUGUAUGCGGUAUUCCGCAGAUGAUUGACUCAAGACCGAGUCGGAUGGAUAGCUUUGUUAAGGUAAUAGAAACCUUAAAGCUAGUGGCAAAGGCAAGAACUAAGGUAGUAGAGACCUUAGAAACAAGUUGAGCUUGGUAAUGGAACUAAGGUAAGUAGAAACCUUAGGGGUAAAGGACUUGAGCUGAGAUUAGCCAGUGGAAUGUAGAGUCAAUGGACCUACUAGUGAAUAGUGGAUUAUAUAGAUGCAUAGUGGCAUAGAAAUGCAUGAUAUCCAUAUUGCAUAUCGUGAGGCAAUGCAAGGUUUCAUUAGUUGCAUAAUUUAGAUAUAUAUAUAUCUAUCUGUUUAUUGAACUAACCUGCAGGUUGCCUCUCUUUGACCUAUUGGUCGAGCUUUUCCCUUGGGUGGCCGUACCCACUGGGAACCAUGGAGUUGGUUCUCACCCCACGUUGUUUUGGGGUGUUACAGGUUCGCACGUGAGCG